UACGGGGGGGAGCAAGCGUUGUUCGGAUUUACUGGGGCGUAAAGGGCGCGUAGGCGGUCAGCACAAGUCAGUUGUGAAAUCUCCGGGCUUAACUCGGAAAGGUCAACUGAUACUGUGCGACUAGAGUGCGGAAGGGGCAACUGGAAUUCUCGGUGGUAGCGGUGAAAUGCGUAGAUAUCGAGAGGAACACCUGCGGCGAAGGCGGGUGCUGGGCGACACUGACGCUGAUGCGCGAAAGCCAGGGGAGCGAACGGG
rnacentral:rRNA from 1 species